UUCAAGCAGAGAUUGGACAACCACAUGUCCAUGAGUGGAGCCAGCUAGAACGGAGGGUCAGACUAGAUGACCCAGGAGGACCCCUUCUGACUUGCUUUGUUCCUAUGUUUCAAAAGGCAUGAAAUAUUAGUUCCCCUAUAUUCAGCAUUAGUCAGACCUCAACUGGAGUACUGUAUCCCGUUCUGGGCACCUAAGUUUUAAAAAGAUGCAGAAAAGCUAGAAAGGCUAUAGAGGAGGGCAGCAAGGAUAAUUCAGGGACUGGAGGCAAAAGUCCUUUGAGGAAAGAUUGAGAGAACUAGGCAAGUUCAGUCUUAAGAAAAGAAGACCAAGGGGAGAUAGAAUAGUACUCUAUCCUAAUUAAUUUAAUUAAUUAAAUUAAUAAUUUUAAGUUGAUUAUUUUGUCCACAGCUUUUCCAUGACCUAUUAAACAAGUUAUCAAGUAAAAAAUUGAAAUACAAUUAUUCUGGCAGGACUUACUCUUGACAUAGUCAUGCUGUCUUCCAGUCAUCACUGAAUUAGUAUCAAGGUGCCUAAAGACUGAGUACUUUAUAAUCUGCUCUAGAAUCUGUUUUCCAAAUAAAGCACCCCACAGCUUUGGAGUAGUUCACAAUAAGCUCUUUCAGCAAUUCAGUCUUACUGUUACCACUGUUUGUUUAUAUAAUAACAGUUUAAUAGGUCCUCAGUAUUUACUUUGUAUUUGUUUCAUAGGACUUUCAGGGUGGAUUGGUGAACGAGGUGUACCUGGGGAUCCAGGCAUUCCUGGGUUGACAGGUGAAAAAGGAGAUCUCGGCCCCACUGGACUUCCAGGAGGAAAAGGUGCUCCUGGCUUUAGAGGAAUCACUGGGUUGCAUGGUUUGGCAGGUGCUAAAGGCUCAGUAGGAUCAUCAGGUCCAGAUGGAUAUGGCCCACCAGGUUUUCUAGGUAUUUGGGGUGACAAAGGUACAGUAGGAGAUCCAAGUCCCAUGGAAGGCAGUAGAGGACCUCCAGGUCAGAAAGGAGAAAGAGGAGAUCCAGGUUUGUUUAUUCACAAGUUUCACACAUGGCACCAUGGCUUUCUCCUCUCCAAAGUUAACAAAAUACCCCUAACCAGAAAACACUUGCCAGAUUAUAGGUUUAAAUUAAGGAAGUAGAAUUAUAGGAUGGAACAGGCAUAUUCACAUGCACUCUUGUGCUUACAUGUCAGGAUGCAUGAAGUGCCCCUGAGGCAUAUGUGUAAAUAAACACAGCUCAGCACCUGCUUCAAAGCAAGGCAUUCUACUCUGUAGCCUUGGACAGCUCAGUCCAUUAAAUGUGAAUUACCAUGCCAUUUCAUUUUAUUAACCAUGCUCCUGUACUACUCUGAAUUAUUAUUAUUUUGACUGUAUUGUUUUUCAAAUAUUUUAAAUUUGAUUUUAAUUCUGAUUUUAAUAGUUUUAUGGGAAUAGCUUUUAAUAUUUAGUAGUAUACAAUUGUACAGUUAAGUAAUACAAAACACAGCAUAUUUUAUAUGUGUCUGAAUCACAAAAUGCAAAAUGUUAAACAUAAAAGAAUUAGAACUAUAUCAAAUCUAUGUGAUGAUGUUUGUGGGGUACUAAUAUUUCAUUUUUUGUUGUUUGUUUCCCUUUUCUGUUUUAAACCUUUCAUUUUAAAAAAGAGAUUGAGGAAAAUGCUCUGAGCCAUCACAAAACUCUAAGUUGAAAAUACCACAUUUGAUUUCAAAAAUACUGCCACCCCACCCCCACACAAAUAGAGUCAGGGAUACAGGUAGAAUAAGCCAUCAAACAAGGGGUACAAGCUGACUGUAUAUAAUAGGGCAGAACCCAGUCAUAAGUAGUACCCGACAGACCAUUGGGAAAACAUGACUUCUUUAUGAGAGCUUCAGCUAUGAGCGGUAUAGAAAUGUUAAUUUUAAAAAUCUGAUGCUUGCUGGCUUUUCAAUCUGAUUUCAUUCGCUUUUCAUUGGCUGUGCAACUUAGUUCCACAGUAGUUAGGCAACAAAACUGAGACACACACAAUAGUAAGCGAGGGGAGGGGAACAUUCUUUUGUGACCCCAAUACUGACUUCACUCAAGUGAGCUUUUAUAGCAAUUCACAAAAAGGCUGUUUGCUACACAAAAAUACUGGUCUGUUUAUACGUCUACAUUAUUGUACCUGUAUUAACUAAGUUACUGCACCACUUAUAUUAUGUUGGCUUCUCUGACACAGUUACAGAAUGCCACCUCCUUCUGUUUUUCUCAAUUAGAUAAGACUAUAGCAAGGGUAGGCAAUGAGGUAUCCAUUUGCACCAAUGAGCUCCUGCACACCUUUAUUUCUAUUCACUAAAGUACCCAAUCACCUUUUGAGGUUAAUUAGUCACUUUUUAUGGCAGUUAGGUCUACAAUAAAACCUUGGAUUGUGAGCAUAAUUCCUUCCAGAAGCGUUGUAAUCCAAAGCACUCGUAUAUCAAAGCAAGUUUCCCCAUAAGGUUCAAUGUAAAUAAGCUUAAUC